rnacentral:rRNA from 1 species
AGUGAACGCUGGCGGCAGGCCUAACACAUGCAAGUCGAACGGCAGCACAGUAAGAGCUUGCUCUUACGGGUGGCGAGUGGCGGACGGGUGAGGAAUACAUCGGAAUCUACUUUUUCGUGGGGGAUAACGUAGGGGAACUUACUCUAAUACAGCAUACGCCCUUCGGGUGAAAGCAGGGGAUAUUCGGACCUUGCGCGAUUGGACGAGCCGAUGUGGUGUUAGCUAGUUGGCGGGGUAAUGGCCCACCAAGGGGGGGAUCCGUAGCCGGACUGUGAGGAUGGUCGUCGACACUGGAAGUGGACCGCGGUCCUGACUCCUGCGGGAGGCACCAGUGUCCAAUGUUGGGCAAUGGGCGGGAGUCUUGUCCAACCGUCCCGCGUGGGUGAAGAAAGCCUUCCGGUUGUGAAGCCCUUUUGUUGGGUGAGAAAAGCAGCCGGCUAAGACCCCGCUGUUCUGACGGUACCCAAUGAAUAAGCACCGGCUAACUUCGUG